rnacentral:rRNA from 1 species
GAGGAUUACACUGUCUCCCCCCCUAAAUCAAUGAAACUGAUCCCCCCGUGAAGAAGCGGGGAUAAAUAUAUAAGACGAGAAGACCCUAUGGAGCUUUAAACUAAACACCACUUACCUUCAACCACUUCCUUACAAACAGGUAAAGAUCGUGUGUGUUUUCAGUUGGGGUGACUGCGGAGCAAAAUAAAACCUCCACGAUGAAACAAUCCUCUAAUCUAAGAACAACGCUUCAAAGAAUCAACAAAUUGACAUAAAUUGACCCAAAUAUUAAUUUGAUCAACGAACCAAGUUACCCUAGGGAUAACAGCGCAAUCCAUUUCAAGAGCUCAUAUCGACAAAUG